UACGGGGGGGGCAAGCGUUGUUCGGAAUUACUGGGCGUAAAGGGCUCGUAGGUGGCCAACUAAGUCAGACGUGAAAUCCCUCGGCUUAACCGGGGAACUGCGUCUGAUACUGGAUGGCUUGAGUUUGGGAGAGGGAUGCGGAAUUCCAGGUGUAGCGGUGAAAUGCGUAGAUAUCUGGAGGAGCACCGGUGGCGAAGGCGGCAUCCUGGACCAACACUGACACUGAGGAGCGAAAGCGUGGGGAGCGAACAGG
rnacentral:rRNA from 1 species